AUAAGGGUACAGGAAGUCAGCGGUGUUAGAUGCAGUGGGAGGCCAGAUGAGACAAGGCACAGGGGCCCUCUAUCCGGUUCAAAACAAAGAACAUUGCAAGUGAUUUUUGGUGGAAUUUGGCCAGGUCCAUGAUGGCGAGCUAGACCCUGGAACCUGAACCAUCAAAAGAGCCGCAUCCUCCCGCCAAGCCGGUAGGGGGCUCCUAGUAGCCCAGUUGAAAACAAAGACCUAUGACCCAGCUUAUGCCCACACCAUCGCUUUAAUGAACUAUAUUCAUAGAAACUGAAUUCACGCUUCCCAGUGCACUUACCUUCCUCUGAACUGUGGGCGGGUUGGUUUUUCUUUGUGUUUUUGUUUCUAUGGUGCAACUAAAAGUUGCUGGACUCGAGGACAUGCUACAACAGUCAUGCCUUUGUAAAUGUGAAACAUUUUGAAGUACUUUUGUGUAUAUAUCUGAAUGGCCAUUCAUUGUUUCUCUGCAUUAAUGUCUAUCACUGUAAAUAAAUUGCCCCACACCAAACAACAA